rnacentral:rRNA from 1 species
UUAAGCGACUAAGCGUACACGGUGGAUGCCCUGGCAGUCAGAGGCGAUGAAGGACGUGCUAAUCUGCGAUAAGCGUCGGUAAGGUGAUAUGAACCGUUAUAACCGGCGAUUUCCGAAUGGGGAAACCCAGUGUGUUUCGACACACUAUCAUUAACUGAAUCCAUAGGUUAAUGAGGCGAACCGGGGGAACUGAAACAUCUAAGUACCCCGAGGAAAAGAAAUCAACCGAGAUUCCCCCAGUAGCGGCGAGCGAACGGGGAGCAGCCCAGAGCCUGAAUCAGUGUGUGUGUUAGUGGAAGCGUCUGGAAAGGCGCGCGAUACAGGGUGACAGCCCCGUACACAAAAAUGCACAUGCUGUGAGCUCGAUGAGUAGGGCGGGACACGUGGUAUCCUGUCUGAAUAUGGGGGGACCAUCCUCCAAGGCUAAAUACUCCUGACUGACCGAUAGUGAACCAGUACCGUGAGGGAAAGGCGAAAAGAACCCCGGCGAGGGGAGUGAAAAAGAACCUGAAACCGUGUACGUACAAGCAGUGGGAGCACGCUUAGGCGUGUGACUGCGUACCUUUUGUAUAAUGGGUCAGCGACUUAUAUUCUGUAGCAAGGUUAACCGAAUAGGGGAGCCGAAGGGAAACCGAGUCUUAACUGGGCGUUAAGUUGCAGGGUAUAGACCCGAAACCCGGUGAUCUAGCCAUGGGCAGGUUGAAGGUUGGGUAACACUAACUGGAGGACCGAACCGACUAAUGUUGAAAAAUUAGCGGAUGACUUGUGGCUGGGGGUGAAAGGCCAAUCAAACCGGGAGAUAGCUGGUUCUCCCCGAAAGCUAUUUAGGUAGCGCCUCGUGAAUUCAUCUCCGGGGGUAGAGCACUGUUUCGGCAAGGGGGUCAUCCCGACUUACCAACCCGAUGCAAACUGCGAAUACCGGAGAAUGUUAUCACGGGAGACACACGGCGGGUGCUAACGUCCGUCGUGAAGAGGGAAACAACCCAGACCGCCAGCUAAGGUCCCAAAGUCAUGGUUAAGUGGGAAACGAUGUGGGAAGGCCCAGACAGCCAGGAUGUUGGCUUAGAAGCAGCCAUCAUUUAAAGAAAGCGUAAUAGCUCACUGGUCGAGUCGGCCUGCGCGGAAGAUGUAACGGGGCUAAACCAUGCACCGAAGCUGCGGCAGCGACACUAUGUGUUGUUGGGUAGGGGAGCGUUCUGUAAGCCUGUGAAGGUGUGCUGUGAGGCAUGCUGGAGGUAUCAGAAGUGCGAAUGCUGACAUAAGUAACGAUAAAGCGGGUGAAAAGCCCGCUCGCCGGAAGACCAAGGGUUCCUGUCCAACGUUAAUCGGGGCAGGGUGAGUCGACCCCUAAGGCGAGGCCGAAAGGCGUAGUCGAUGGGAAACAGGUUAAUAUUCCUGUACUUGGUGUUACUGCGAAGGGGGGACGGAGAAGGCUAUGUUGGCCGGGCGACGGUUGUCCCGGUUUAAGCGUGUAGGCUGGUUUUCCAGGCAAAUCCGGAAAAUCAAGGCUGAGGCGUGAUGACGAGGCACUACGGUGCUGAAGCAACAAAUGCCCUGCUUCCAGGAAAAGCCUCUAAGCAUCAGGUAACAUCAAAUCGUACCCCAAACCGACACAGGUGGUCAGGUAGAGAAUACCAAGGCGCUUGAGAGAACUCGGGUGAAGGAACUAGGCAAAAUGGUGCCGUAACUUCGGGAGAAGGCACGCUGAUAUGUAGGUGAAGUCCCUCGCGGAUGGAGCUGAAAUCAGUCGAAGAUACCAGCUGGCUGCAACUGUUUAUUAAAAACACAGCACUGUGCAAACACGAAAGUGGACGUAUACGGUGUGACGCCUGCCCGGUGCCGGAAGGUUAAUUGAUGGGGUCAGCGCAAGCGAAGCUCUUGAUCGAAGCCCCGGUAAACGGCGGCCGUAACUAUAACGGUCCUAAGGUAGCGAAAUUCCUUGUCGGGUAAGUUCCGACCUGCACGAAUGGCGUAAUGAUGGCCAGGCUGUCUCCACCCGAGACUCAGUGAAAUUGAACUCGCUGUGAAGAUGCAGUGUACCCGCGGCAAGACGGAAAGACCCCGUGAACCUUUACUAUAGCUUGACACUGAACAUUGAGCCUUGAUGUGUAGGAUAGGUGGGAGGCUUUGAAGUGUGGACGCCAGUCUGCAUGGAGCCGACCUUGAAAUACCACCCUUUAAUGUUUGAUGUUCUAACGUUGACCCGUGAUCCGGGUUGCGGACAGUGUCUGGUGGGUAGUUUGACUGGGGCGGUCUCCUCCUAAAGAGUAACGGAGGAGCACGAAGGUUGGCUAAUCCUGGUCGGACAUCAGGAGGUUAGUGCAAUGGCAUAAGCCAGCUUGACUGCGAGCGUGACGGCGCGAGCAGGUGCGAAAGCAGGUCAUAGUGAUCCGGUGGUUCUGAAUGGAAGGGCCAUCGCUCAACGGAUAAAAGGUACUCCGGGGAUAACAGGCUGAUACCGCCCAAGAGUUCAUAUCGACGGCGGUGUUUGGCACCUCGAUGUCGGCUCAUCACAUCCUGGGGCUGAAGUAGGUCCCAAGGGUAUGGCUGUUCGCCAUUUAAAGUGGUACGCGAGCUGGGUUUAGAACGUCGUGAGACAGUUCGGUCCCUAUCUGCCGUGGGCGCUGGAGAACUGAGGGGGGCUGCUCCUAGUACGAGAGGACCGGAGUGGACGCAUCACUGGUGUUCGGGUUGUCAUGCCAAUGGCACUGCCCGGUAGCUAAAUGCGGAAGAGAUAAGUGCUGAAAGCAUCUAAGCACGAAACUUGCCCCGAGAUGAGUUCUCCCUGACUCCUUGAGAGUCCUGAAGGAACGUUGAAGACGACGACGUUGAUAGGCCGGGUGUGUAAGCGCAGCGAUGCGUUGAGCUAACCGGUACUAAUGAACCGUGAGGCUUAACCUU